rnacentral:snRNA from 1 species
GUAUUAGAGUUGGUAACACAUGUACUAAAAUUGGAAUGAUACAGAGAAGAUUAGCCUGGCCCCUGGGUGAGGCUAACAUGGUUAGAGUCCAUCUGACUCAU